GAAAUAGUCCACAUUAAUAAAACCCUUAGCUGGGAUGUCUAUGACUUUCAAGCUAUUUUUGAAUUUUUGACAAGUGUUGUGUUUUGGGGCUUGUUCAGCAGAUUCCUUCUGAGUUUGAUUUGAUCUUUUGGGUUCUACAGUAGGAUAUGACUGCAGUGCAUCCAAAGAGUAACUGAAGCUUCACAGUGUUGAAGUCCACAUGACAGCUUUAGCAGAUUCACAUUCUCUAAUAAUAUACACCUAAGACGACAAGAAGACAGAACUACUAACAGGUCUAUUGGGUGCUUUUCUGAAUUACACCCGACCACUGAUUUCGUAUUAAAAUGUAUCAACUGUCAAACCAUUGGAUGUGAAAAAACAUUUGACUUGAUAAGGAUUCAGAUGAACUACAGAAAUUAGAUUAGUUGGUUCUCUUCUUGAAGCUCUUUAUUCUUUGAAGAAGAAAACAGUAUGAAGGAUAGAAGAAGUAUCUGGCAGAAAAAGAGUAAGGGAUUCCUGGGAAAAAUUACAUUGCAGAUUUUUCUGUGAGGCAGAUGUGGAAAAAAAAC
rnacentral:lncRNA from 1 species